rnacentral:snoRNA from 2 species
UCAUAUGAUGAUUAAAACGAAAACAAAAGCUGGAAUUACUGGCUGAACGCAUAUGUGUUGAAACGUUUUUGCACUACUUCUGAUU